rnacentral:rRNA from 1 species
UGGGGAAUAUUGCACAAUGGGGGAAACCCUGAUGCAGCGACGCCGCGUGAGCGAAGAAGGUUUUCGAAUCGUAAAGCUCUGUCCUAUGAGAAGAUAAUGACGGUAUCAUAGGAGGAAGCCCCGGCUAAAUACGUGCCAGCAGCCGCGGUAAUACGGAUGGGGCGAGCGUUGUCCGGAAUUAUUGGGCGUAAAGGGUACGUAGGCGGUCUAUUAAGUCAGGUGUGAAAGCGUGAGGCUUAACCUCAUUAAGCACUUGAAACUGAGAGACUUGAGUGAAGGAGAGGAAAGUGGAAUUCCUAGUGUAGCGGUGAAAUGCGUAGAUAUUAGGAGGAAUACCGGUGGCGAAGGCGACUUUCUGGACUUUGACUGACGCUCAGGUACGAAAGCGUGGGGAGCAAACAGG